rnacentral:tRNA from 1 species
CGGGAGAUGGCUGAGUGGUUGAAAGCGGCGGUAUUGAAAACCGUUGAGGGUCAUACCUCCGGGGGUUCGAAUCCCUCUCUCCCGG